rnacentral:rRNA from 1 species
AACGAACGCUGGCGGCAGGCUUAACACAUGCAAGUCGAACGCUCCGCAAGGAGAGUGGCAGACGGGUGAGUAACACGUGGGAACGUACCCUUUACUACGGAACAACUCCGGGAAACUGGAGCUAAUACCGUAUGUGCCCUUCGGGGGAAAGAUUUAUCGGUAAAGGAUCGGCCCGCGUUGGAUUAGCUAGUUGGUGGGGUAAAGGCCUACCAAGGCGACGAUCCAUAGCUGGUCUGAGAGGAUGAUCAGCCACAUUGGGACUGAGACACGGCCCAAACCCCGACGGGAGGCAGCAGUGGGGAAUAUUGGACAAUGGGCGAAAGCCUGAUCCAGCCAUGCCGCGGGAGUGAUGAAGGUCUUAGGAUUGUAAAGCUCUUUCACCGGGGACGAUAAUGACGGUACCCGGAGAAGAAGCCCCGGCUAACUUCGUGCCAGCCGCCGCGGUAA